rnacentral:piRNA from 1 species
GUACUAGAAGUUGAGGGUUGAGAGCUGG